GAAAGUGUUUUUAUUAUUGUCAGCGUGCACAUCAGCUGAUUACAAUGAGAGUAUUUGACUGAAUUCAGCAAUUGCAACAGCUUUGAACAAGUCUUUCACGGGAUGCUGAAACAUAAAGGCUAUAAAACAGCAGUUGGUGAACUUCAUGUUUUUGUUCAUUAUAAUCUAUGACAUGAAAUAAAUGGCAUUUUAUGAGUGGUGGUCACAUGAGAAGUUUGACUGUGAUGGAUCAUUCACUGUUGGUCAACAAUGAACAAAGAAUAGAGGACAGAACAGAGCAGGACUCAUAUCUGGAGCAAUUGAAUGCUACUUCCAAAUAAUAUUAAACAAAAUGGUACAAAACAACACCAUUUAUCUGCUGAAUCACUUCUCGGCUGGUGCCAUCAUCAGUGGAGACUGAGAUGCUGUAUGCAGACAGAGCCUACGGAAGGUGGACUUCAAAAACUAUAUGGCCAUUAUAAGGUUUCUGAAUGUCAGUGGGAACCACUGGAAGUUUUUGGUGAAAGCUUUCAAAAUAAGUCAUGGAUCUGUAGUCAAAACUCAACUUUGAUUUCAAAUAUUUCUUUUUUUCUUUUACCAGUAUCUGCAUGCAUCCUCUGAUCAAGUGUUUGUGAUUGAUCCAGCAGGAAAUCAGGAGGAGAAGGACUCUCUUCAUGCUGCAGCCAGAUUUAGGUAAAAACACACUGUUAAAAUAAUAGCACUAAACCCAAAACAAAUGAAUAACACUCACUUUAAGUGGAUUACACUUAAAUGCGUAAUACUUUAAGAUGAGAUUUGUGUGCAGCGGUAAAAAUGACUGGAGUGAUGUUAAGUGGCAAGGAGGUAUUAUAAAUCACACAACCCAGCAGGACUUACAGCUGUGGUGUAUUUGUCAUGCAGGUAUUUUGUUCUCAUAUUGUAAGUACAAUGUUCAAAUAGUGAAGACAAUAUAUACAUUAAAUUCUUUCAUUGAACAAGAGCUAUUAAUUUGUAGAUGGCCAAAGAGUUUGUCACAGUAUUCACUGAAAUUCCUUCCAAGCUAUGCAUUGACCCUUGUAUGGAACAAGUUCGGAAACAGAUGGCAGAGGAAAUCCUGACAGAAUCAGGUGGUUGAAAUUCAAUGGGAACCAAAACCUGACAUCACAAAAUUCUUAUUGUUUUCUGUCAGCCUCUGUUGCUAUUUUGAUAUCUGUAUACUUUUAGUGUUCAGAAAGGGUCACUGCUGUGCACUCUGUGCUUCUGCAAAACACCCUGGAGGUGGUCCAACAACUGACUGGGUUUGGAUUGGAAUUGGAUUUUAGGAAUCUCAUCCCAGACCAGAUGUGUGCUCCAAUUUGUCCCAGAGCAGAAAUCGUAAAAGCAACAGGUCAGGCAAUGGAUUGAGAAACCAUUCCAAUUCUCUAUGCGCCAGCGGAGCUGAUUAAGAAUCAAGUGCACAUGUAGAAUGAUGCACCUGCAAAUUUGGACACAAUGAGUUGCAAGAUCAUGGUAUUUUUUACACAUGGAUUCUGAAUGUAUGUUCGCAUGAUUCAAGCAAAUCUGCUUUGGCAAUAUAUAGUAGGCUAUUAUUAGGGUCACACAUAUCACAUUGAGAUUGCCGAAACAUUCGUUUGUGGACUCCCGUAGUACCAGGCCUUGGAAUAAGAUUAAAUUGGUCCCAUAUUUAAAUUCACCACAUUAACACUCCCCAAAUGCAGGAGAACACAAUCACUCAAUUAACCCACCAGCAAAUAACAAACAUACACAUCACAUAUAAAUGAUUUAAACUGUCACUGUAGUGCUUAAAUUACCAUCCAUGCUUAUAGAAACAAAUGAUUUCUUUUCCUCUACAAUUAAUGAUAUAUUUCACCUUAACUGAUUAACACAGAAUCCAAUGAUCUUGUCUCCGUUUAAUGUUUAUUGGCAGAAAACUCUAGGAACUUCAGUACUGAUGUUUAACUUAAAUUGUUUAUUGAUAACAGAUUAAUUCUCAUUUAUGUCUUACAAUGUACAUGGUUCAAUAUUUGUACAUGAAUCCACACUUAGAUAUCAUUUUAAAAUCACCAAUAAAGCACAUUACAUAAUGAUCAACUAAGAAAAAAUAGACUUAACCAGAGCUGCCUGAAUAAAACACCCAAAUAAAUGGUUCAUGUUUUACAACUCAUCUAAAAGCAAACAUUAUUAAGAUUUGUCUUCAUGUUCACACUUUAAACAUUUGGGUUUUUAUUCAUUAAUCUACAGCUCAAGAAACUUUAAGCUGGGAGUUAUCAAACCGCAUAUCAAGAAGACACAGCCUUUGGAGUUGAGAGAGAAGAGUGUGCUUAUUUGAAAUGAAUUUAUGAACAUGGUGUAAUUUCAAUAGCAUGUGUUGUGUCAGAGUUCUGUCACUAAAACCAACAUCCAAAUGUUCUUCUAGGAACUAGCAACAAGACACAGCCUUUGAAGUUGAGAUAGAAAACUGUAUUUAUUUGAAAUGAAUUUAUGAACAGGUUUACAUUUAUUUCAGUAGCAUUCUCCUGAAUUACAUAUGUGAGUACAAACUAUGUACCAGCAACAAGACACAGCCUUUGAAGUUGAGACAGAAGACUGUAUUUAUGUGAAAUGAAUUUAUUCAAGUUUGAAUUUCAAACCCAGUCAAAGCAACUGCACAACUUUCCUGUAGGGGGCAGUAACACUGAACACUAUUUCAACAGCAUGUCUUCUGCUACAGUUCUGUAACUAAACCCCACAUUUACAUAUUAGUCUUUUAGGGACAUGGAAUACUGCAUAACCUUUGGAUUCAAGAUGGAACGUGAACUCAGUUUUGUAAAGCAAAAUUGAUAAUUUUUGCUCAAAAUGAAUUCAUCUUUGCAAGAAGAUACAUUCUUGCAUAGAUGAAUUCAUUUUGAGCAAAAAAUAUCAAUUUUGCACUUGAAUAAAGUUUCUUUGAAUGAGAAUUUGCAGAUAUCUGAAAUUGAUGUAAUUCCACUGAUUUUGCGUGUGCAAGAUCUCACUCGCUCUCUCCUACCCACUCAUUGCUUUGACUGCUUGUUUGCUCAACACCGUCACAGCAUUAUAAUGUGCCACAAUUUCAGCCAAUCAGAGAUGAGGUGGUAAAUUUUGAGUGGCUGGCUAGACCAAAGAUCAUUCUGCUAAUAAAAACAAGAGGAAGAGAAGGGGAUAGUUUGUUUUCGAGAAAGGAAAUGUGUAACACACUAUGACCACAUUAACCUUAAUGAAAUAUAUUUUUUGUCUGAACACUGCCAAUAGGCUUACUAGCUAGAUAACUAUAUGUCUAGCUCUCUUAGUUGGGUCUAUAUUAGUAUUUGGUUAUCUAGGUCAGUGGUUCUCAACCUUUUUGACUCCAAGGCCCCCCAUUGUUGGAGAGAAUAUUCAGGCCCCCCAUGUAGGCUAUUAGAUAUUUAUAUUAUAAGAUAUAUCUAUUAUAAAAUAUUUCCUUAAGACUUGUGAUUCCAGAAAUGUCUACAACUGUAUAUUCUUCAUAAAAAGCAAACUGUUGAAGGGAGUUAUUAAAUUUUUAGCAUUUUCAGUAAGUUGAAUUAUAAUAAUUAUAUACAAAUUAUAAUAAUCAUAUUUUAAAUCAUUUUAAAGAGAUCUUGAGGCCCCCCUGGAAGUGUGCUGAGGCCCCCUAGUGGGUCCCGACCCCCUGGUUGAGAACCACUGAUAGGUUACCAAGUAACACUGACGUGCACAGAACAGGGGCUACAGGAGCGCAAGCCCCUGCCCAUUUUGUUCAUAAAUCUAAAGGUGCCCUUCACAAAUGUAAUGGUGCCCUUUUAAGCGGAGGUGCUUUUAAGAGUACAGAGAUGAUGCCUUGAAGAGCAUGGAGAUUUAAGCGGAGAUGUUUUUACUACAGCACCAAAUUACCAGAUUACAGGCUACCGUGGACCUGCAACAACUGAAUCUUCUUCUUUUUGUUAUUAUUACAUGAAAUAUUUCUUUAAUAAACAUG